GACGAACCGUGCGAACGUUUAUUCGGAAUCACUGGGCUUAAAGCGCGUGUAAGGCGGGCCGCCACGUCGGCUGCUGAAAUCCCCCGGCUCAACCGGGGAAGUGGCACCGAUACGAGCGGGCCUCGAGGGGGGGUAGGGGGGGUCGUGGAACUUCCGGUGGAGCGGUGAAAUGCGUUGAGAUCGGAAGGAACGCCCGUGGCGAAAGCGAGGCCCUGGACCCUUACUGACGCUGAGACGCGAAAGCCAGGGGAGCGAACGGG
rnacentral:rRNA from 1 species